CAACCAGAGUUCAAAUCCAGCCUUUGCUAAUCACUUGGCUGAUGACUUUCAGAAAUCUGCUUAACCUUCCUAAGACCUCGGUUUCCUUAUUUGCAAAAUGGGAUAAUAACCCUUCAAGUGAAAUAAGGUGUCCCAUUCAGAGCAUCCAAGCUAAUGGACAGUUAAGGAAAUGACCCAACAGCUGGCAGGCCUCCCCUGCUGUUGCCAAUAUUGUUUUCAUGCUCCAGGCGGUGCUGAAUUAUAACACACGCGCAGCAAAACUAGCACAGAAGCCCCACGUCCACCACUCUCCGCCCCUCCAAACUCUAAGACAAGCGUGGCUCCACUAAGUGUCUUAGGCCGCGUAAUGCAGAGCCUCUCAACUGGCAGCAGUGUCAACGUUCCCACCUACAGCCCGUGAGGUAGGCAGAGCAUCUAUCAUCACUAUCACCCUCAACACCAUCAUCAUCAACAUCAUCACCAGCUUACAGAUGAAAACCCUGAGGUUCCAGGAGACACAGGGACAACUCGGCUUCCGGCAGAACUGCGAUGAGAUAAAUGCGGGCUCCUGAACCCAAACCUGAACUCUUUCCUCUGAGCUGACGGCUCCAUGAUGGCAGCAGGGCCACAGCACAUGGCUAUGGGUGUCACCAACCUCAGCAAUGAGACGGCUGCACCUUGGUUUGGGAGUGCCCUGUAGGUAAAAUGCUCUCCUAGACACUGUAGGAAAGGCCAAGGUCAACGGUCUGAUUCGGGGACCUUACAUGUCAAAUUCCCUGGGGCCUGGAGCACGAUCACAUGUUCCGUGUGUUUCUUUUCAGAAGGGGUUUUGGAUCUGCAUUUAGAGAGAACAGUCUGAGACUAGAGAGGGCAGAAGCAUUUCAAGAAGAAGAAAGUCUCACCUAGGUUUCUGUUUGUUUGUUUUCUCAUGGCAGGUGGACAUGAGAAAUAAAGCAGUGGGGGAGGGAAAGCAAGGGUGGACU